GGGCGGUCGGAGCGCGAGCUGUCAACUCUGGCGCCUCCCCGCUCCGCCCCGAGGCUCCGAAGUGACAGGUGGAAUAGCAGCCUGGGCUUCGGACUCCAGGCCUAGGUUUAUCCUCUGGGAGGGGACGUUCAGUUUGGUGUCACUGCCUUGGUUGUUUAAGGUGCCAGAAGUUUUACCCACCAUUGCUUUAGCACCAUCAGUGCAAACGACAACACAGUUAAAAAGGU
rnacentral:lncRNA from 10 species